AUCCGGCUCGUCAUCUUGUCGGCAACGUUUUCCCAUCGACUCUGCCACUGUCUCCAGAUCGCGAUCGAGGCCGAAAGCUCGGGAGAAGCGACCGCUGGAGCGGCGAAUGAUCUGCUGCGCGGAUCUCCACUUUCUAUUCUCCAUCUCGUAAGCUCGAGCUGAACGCAGCUUCCGGCAGCCAUGGCGCUCAACCUCCGCCAGAAGCAAACAGGUGUCGCUCAGUGAAAGUGUCAACAUCUUGAUGGUGGAUCUCCCUUGAUGCAACCUUAGAUGUCUGAUGACUGCAGCGACAGAAACUGGACAAGCAGAUUUACGGUGUAUCUUCUGCAUGAAACUCAUCCAGGAAAGAGUGGGUGGACACAAAAUACCUUCUUGAGCAAUCCCAGAGUUCUGCGUCCUUGUGCUUCUCAAGAUACUUGUAUAUCAUUUUCUCUGUGUAGGUUGUUAUACUCGAUGUGCAGGCAUUUAUUGUUGAAAAAGAGACAUUCUGCUGUCCCUUAGGUACUCACGUGAUUUGCGCUUAUCGAACACCUUUCGUUGUUUGUGAGUUA